rnacentral:rRNA from 1 species
GACAGCAGCCGCCGCGGUAAAACGGAGGGGGCUAGCGUUGUUCGGAAUUACUGGGCGUAAAGCGUACGUAGGCGGCUUUGUAAGUUAGAGGUGAAAGCCUGGAGCUCAACUCCAGAAUUGCCUUUAAGACUGCAUCGCUUGAACGUCGGAGAGGUGAGUGGAAUUCCGAGUGUAGCGGUGAAAUGCGUAGAUAUCGGAAGGAACACCUGUGGCGAAAGCGGCUCACUGGACCAUUUCUGACGCUGAUGCACGAAAGCUAGGGGAGCAAACAGGAUUAGAUACCCCUGUAGUCCCUGUCUCUUAUAC